ACGAACGCUGGCGGCGUGCCUAAUACAUGCCAGUUGAGCGCUGAAGGUUGGUACUUGUACCCACUGGAUGAGCAGCGAACGGGUGAGUAACGCGUGGGGAAUCUGCCUUUGAGCGGGGGACAACAUUUGGAAACGAAUGCUAAUACCGCAUAAAAACUUUAAACACAAGUUUUAAGUUUGAAAGAUGCAAUUGCAUCACUCAAAGAUGAUCCCGCGUUGUAUUAGCUAGUUGGUGAGGUAAAGGCUCACCAAGGCGAUGAUACAUAGCCGACCUGAGAGGGUGAUCGGCCACAUUGGGACUGAGACACGGCCCAAACUCCUACGGGAGGCAGCAGCAGGGAAUCUUCGGCAAUGGACGAAAGUCUGACCGAGCAACGCCGCGUGAGUGAAGAAGGUUUUCGGAUCGUAAAACUCUGUUGGUAGAGAAGAACGUUGGUGAGAGUGGAAAGCUCAUCAAGUGACGGUAACUACCCAGAAAGGGACGGCUAACUACGUG
rnacentral:rRNA from 1 species